UACGUAGGUGGCAAGCGUUGUCCGGAUUUAUUGGGCGUAAAGCGAGCGCAGGCGGUUCCUUAAGUCAGAGGUGAAAGGCUACGGCUCAACCGUAGUAAGCCUUUGAAACUGGGAAACUUGAGUGCAGGAGAGGAGAGUGGAAUUCCUAGUGUAGCGGUGAAAUGCGUAGAUAUUAGGAGGAACACCAGUUGCGAAGGCGGCUCUCUGGACUGUAACUGACACUGAGGCACGAAAGCGUGGGGAGCAAACAGGAUUAGAUACCCCUGUAGU
rnacentral:rRNA from 1 species